rnacentral:rRNA from 1 species
AUGGGCGCCGUCGUGGAGGCCGUCACGGGCUGCCGCUUCGAGGUCACCGACCCGGCCUCCGAGGAGGCCGUCCUCGCCCGGGUCCUGCAGGUGCUGCUCGCCUGCGUGCGCGGCCGCGCAGCCCCCGCGCUCUCCAACCGCCACGUCUGCGCCAUCGUCACCACCUGCUUCCGCGUCGUGCAGCAGGCCGGCACCAAGGGGGAGCUCCUGCAGCGCGUCUCCAGGCAGACCAUGCAGGAGGUCAUCCGCUGUGUCUUCGCCCGCCUUGCUGACAUUGAACCCACCGCCAUCGUCAACGAGCAGAUUAGCAAGAACCAAGAUUUGGGUGCUGAGGAGCUAGGGAAUGGGAAGAGUGAUUAUGUUUGUUUGAAUAGCUCCGGGGAUGAGGUCGGAGGUGGCUUUGGUGCCGUUCAAGACAAGGACAUGAUGGAGCCGCUCGGGGUUCCUUGCAUGGUGGAGAUAUUACAGUUCUUGUGCUCCCUCUUGAACAUAGCCGAAGACAUGGAUGUGAGCCAAAGGAUGAAUGGCAUUGAUUAUGAUGAGGACGUGCCCCUCUUUGCUCUGGGGUUGAUAAAUUCUGUCAUUGAGUUGUCAGCUUCGUCUAUCGACAGGCACCCAAAGUUGCUGGCUUUUGUACAGGAUGAACUGUUCCACAAUCUAAUGCAGUUUGGCUUGUCAAUGAGCCCCCUGAUUCUGUCGACAGUGUGCAGCACUGUUUUUACUCUCUUCUACCAUUUACGUCAGGAACUUAAGUUGCAAAUUGAGGCUUUCUUCUCGUGUGUGAUCCUAAGAUUAGCCCAGGGUAGAUAUGGAGCUAGUUAUCAGCAGCAGGAAGUCGCCCUGGAGGCUCUAGUGGAUUUCUGUCGGCAGAAAGAGUUUAUGGCUGAGAUGUAUGCAAACAUGGACUGUGAUCUACAGUGUUCAAAUAUUUUUGAAGACCUAGCUAAUCUUCUGUCUAGAAGUGCAUUCCCUGUAAACAGUCCAUUGUCCGCAUUGAAUGUUCUUGCAUUGGAUGGUUUGGUUGCUGUCAUUCAGGCGAUAGCAGAGAGGACUGAUCAUGCACAUCAGCAUCAUGGGCAGACAGUUCCAGAAAUAAGUGAAUAUUUUCCCUUUUGGCAGUUGAAGUGUGAGGGCAGUAAUGAUCCUGAUCAAUGGGUUAGAUUCGUUCACCAGCAAAAAAGCAUCAAGAGAAAGCUAAUGGUUGGUGUUGAGCAUUUCAAUAGGGACAAAAAGAAGGGCUUUGAGUACCUGCAAGGUGUCCACCUAUUGCCUGAAAAACUUGAUCCACGAAGUGUUGCUCUGUUCUUCCGGUACACACCUGGAUUGGACAAGAACCUUCUUGGGGAAUACCUUGGGAAUCAUGAUGAGUUCUCUAUUCUGGUACUUCACGAAUUUGCUAAAACCUUUGACUUUGAGGAUAUGAACUUGGACGCUGCCCUAAGGCUCUUCUUGGAAACUUUCCGGCUGCCUGGUGAGUCACAAAAGAUACAGCGGAUUCUGGAGGCCUUCUCUGAGAGGUAUUAUGAACAGUCACCACACAUGUUUGUUAACAGGGAUGCCGCUCUGGUGCUGUCGUAUUCAGUAAUUAUGCUCAACACAGAUCAACACAAUGUAAGGGUUAAGAAGAAGAUGACUGAAGAAGACUUUAUCAGGAACAAUCGCCGUAUCAAUGGUGGGAAUGAUCUUCCGAGGGAGUUCUUGUCGGAGCUGUUUUAUUCUAUCUGUCGGAAUGAGAUCAAAACCAUUCCCGAGCAAGGAGCUGGAUGCUCUGAGAUGUCUUAUAGCCGCUGGGUUGAUCUGAUGUGGAAGUCAAAGAGGACAUCAGUGUACAUUGCUUGUGACUCCUACCCUUUUCUUGAUAAUGACAUGUUCCCUAUCAUGGCUGGACCAUCAGUUGCUGCUAUCUCCGUGGUUUUUGAUAAUGUUGAGCAUGAGGAGAUUCUUACAGGAUGCAUUGAUGGUUUUCUAUCUGUAGCAAAGCUGGCUGCAUUCUAUCAUCUCGAUGAUGUAUUGAAUGAUCUUGUUGUGGGUCUAUGUAAGUUCACCACUUUGUUGAACAAUUCUUAUGCUGAUGACCCUGUAAUAGCUUUUGGGGUGGAUACCAAGGCUAGAAUGGCAACAGAGGCGGUCUUCACAAUUGCAACUACUUAUGGUGAUCAUAUACGGAGUGGAUGGAGGAAUAUAGUAGAUUGCAUUUUAAGGUUGCACAAGAUAGGCCUUCUUCCUGGUCGCCUCACUGGCGAUACAGGUGACGAUCAGGAGUCGUCUUCAGAUUCAUUGCCUAGCAAGCUUGGUUCAUAUGCACUUGCACCUCAAGCCUUACCAAUCAACACCCCUAAAAAAACAUAUGGGCUGAUGGGUAGGUUUAGCCAACUACUGUACCUAGAUGCUGAAGAACCAAGGUCCCAGCCAACUGAGGAGCAACUGGCAGCUCAGAGGAAUGCUUUGGAGACCGUAAAGAAAUGCCAAAUAGGUACCAUCUUCACCGAGAGUAAAUUCUUACAAGCUGACUCACUCUCAAAUCUAGCAAGAGCCCUCAUUCAGGCAGCAGGCCGACCUCAGAGGAUAACCAGCUCGCUUGAUGAUGAAGGCACGGCAGUGUUCUGCUUAGAGCUCCUAAUUACUGUCACAUUAAAUAACAGAGACAGGAUUGUGCUUUUGUGGCAGGGUGUUUAUGAGCACAUAACCCAUAUCGUUCAGUCCACAGUGAUGCCUUGCAAUCUGGUGGAGAAGGCUGUGUUCGGGCUUCUGCACAUCUGCCAGAGGCUGCUUCCUUAUAAGGAGAAUCUGGUGGAUGACUUACUGAGGUCACUGCAGCUGAUUUUGAAACUUGAUGCUCGUGUAGCUGAUGCUUACUGUGAGAACAUCACGUUGGAGGUCACACGACUUGUGAAGGCCAAUGCAACCCAUAUCAAAUCUCAGAUGGGCUGGCGAACUAUAAUUUCCUUACUCUGCGUCACCGCUCGCCAUCCUGAUGCUUCUGAUGCUGGCUUUGAAGCUCUGGUUUUCAUCAUGUCUGAGGGAGCACACCUCUCACCUGCCAACUUCAUCGUUUCAGUGGAGGCCUCAAGGCAGUUUGCAGAAUCCCGGGUUGGGUCUUCAGAGAGAUCUAUCCAUGCCUUGAACCUAAUGGCUGACUCAGUAAAUUGCCUUACACGCUGGUCACGUGAGGUCAAGGAAGCUGGUGGCGAGGCAGACAGGAUAUUGGAAGGAAUUGCUGAGAUGUGGCUGCGGCUAGUGCAGGCAUUGAGGAAGGUGUGCACGGAUCAGAGGGAGGAAGUGAGGAACCAUGCGCUGUUAUGUUUGCACAGAUGCUUAAUAGUUGAUGGAAUAUCAGUUUCCUCUUCUGCAUGGUUGAUGUCCUUUGAUAUUAUCUUCCAGUUGCUUGACGAGUUGUUGGAGAUUGCUCAGAGUUACUCACCAAAGGAUUUCAGAAAUAUGGAGGUGUCCCUCUUGCAUGCCGUGAAACUGUUGUGCAAGGUGUUCUUGCAGUCACUUAAAGACUUGUCCGCACAGAGCAGUUUCAGCAAGCUGUGGCUGGAAGUCCUCGACAUGAUAGAGAAGUUCAUGAAAGUGAAACUGAGAGGGAGGAGGACUGAGAAGCUACAUGAGGCAAUCCCUGAGCUACUGAAGAACAUACUACUGGUGAUGAAAGCAAAUGGUGUACUGUCAAAGACUAGCGCCAGCGAGGAGAACACGUUGUGGGAAGCAACAUGGCUUCAAGUCAACAAGGUCGCGCCAUCGCUGCAGCCAGAGGUUUUCCCUGACAAUGAAAGCGACUCCGCAGCAGAAGGCGAGCAGAGCAAGCCGGAGAGUUCAGCACAGGAGGGCCAAACUGCCGAGCAAUAG